UUGGAGGGCAAGUCUGGUGCCAGCAGCCGCGGUAAUUCCAGCUCCAAUAGCGUAUAUUAAAGUUGUUGCAGUUAAAAAGCUCGUAGUUGAAUUUCGGGAUCAAUACGUCGGUCGUGCCUCUGGUAUGAACUGGUGUUAUUGAUUCCUCCUUUCUGAUAAACCAUGAUGUCAUUAAUUUGGUGUUGUGGGGAGUCAGGACUGUUACUUUGAAAAAAUUAGAGUGUUUAAAGCAGGCCUACGCUUGAAUACAUUAGCAUGGAAUAAUGAAAUAGGACGUUCGAACCUAUUUUGUUGGUUUCUAGGAUCAACGUAAUGAUUAAUAGGGAUAGUUGGGGGCAUUAGUAUUCAAUUGUCAGAGGUGAAAUUCUUGGACUUAUUGAAGACUAACUACUGCGAAAGCAUUUGCCAAGGAUGUUUCCAUUAAUCAAGAACGAAAGUUAGGGGAUCGAAGACGAUCAGAUACCGUCGUAGUCUUAACCAUAAACUAUGCCGACUAGGGAUCGGAUGAUGUUAAUUUUUUAAUGACUCAUUCGGCGCCUUACGGGAAAC
rnacentral:rRNA from 1 species